ensembl:snoRNA U3 Small nucleolar RNA U3
AAGACUGUACUUUCAGGGAUCAUUUCUGUAGUUCGUUACUAGAGAAGUUUCUCUGAACGUGUAGAGCACUGAAAACCAAUUUAGAAGAAAAAAAUGCAUUCAAAAGUGGG